UACGUAGGGUGCGAGCGUUGUCCGGAAUUACUGGGCGUAAAGGGCUCGUAGGCGGCCAACUAAGUCAGACGUGAAAUCCCUCGGCUUAACCGGGGAACUGCGUCUGAUACUGGAUGGCUUGAGUUUGGGAGAGGGAUGCGGAAUUCCAGGUGUAGCGGUGAAAUGCGUAGAUAUCCGGAGGAACACCGGUGGCGAAGGCGGCUUCCUGGACCGACACUGACGCUGAGGCGCGAAAGCUAGGGGAGCAAACGGG
rnacentral:rRNA from 1 species